CUCCCUCGUUGCUGAUCUCAGGUUCGAUAAUGCCAAAUCGCACCACCUCGCCAAGAACCAACUUCGAUGAAGCGACGGGCGGUGUGUG
rnacentral:rRNA from 1 species